CCUACGGGGGGCAGCAGUCGAGAAUCAUUCACAAUGGGGGAAACCCUGAUGGUGCGACGCCGCGUGGGGGAAUGAAGGUCUUCGGAUUGUAAACCCCUGUCAUGUGGGAGCAAAUUAAAAAGAUAGUACCACAAGAGGAAGAGACGGCUAACUCUGUGCCAGCAGCCGCGGUAAUACAGAGGUCUCAAGCGUUGUUCGGAAUCACUGGGCGUAAAGCGUGCGUAGGCUGUUUCGUAAGUCGUGUGUGAAAGGCGCGGGCUCAACCCGCGGACGGCACAUGAUACUGCGAGACUAGAGUAAUGGAGGGGGAACCGGAAUUCUCGGUGUAGCAGUGAAAUGCGUAGAUAUCGAGAGGAACACUCGUGGCGAAGGCGGGUUCCUGGACAUUAACUGACGCUGAGGCACGAAGGCCAGGGGAGCGAACGGGAUUAGAUACCCGGGUAGUC
rnacentral:rRNA from 1 species